UGGGGAAUAUUGGACAAUGGGGGAAACCCUGAUCCAGCAAUACCGCGUGUGUGAAGAAGGCCUGCGGGUUGUAAAGCACUUUCAUUAGAGAAGAAAGUAUAUUGUUUAAGAGAUGAUGUAUGUGACGUUAUCUGAAGAAGAAGCACCGGCUAACUCUGUGCCAGCAGCCGCGGUAAUACAGAGGGUGCAAGCGUUAAUCGGAAUUACUGGGCGUAAAGCGUGUGUAGGUUGUAACGUAAGUUAGGUGUGAAAUCCUGCAGCUCAACUGCAGAACUGCGCUUAAUACUACGUAACUAGAGUCUUGGAGAGGGUAGUGGAAUUUCCGGUGUAGCGGUGAAAUGCGUAGAUAUCGGAAGGAAUAUCAAAGGCGAAGGCAGCUAUCUGGCCAAAGACUGACACU
rnacentral:rRNA from 1 species